rnacentral:rRNA from 1 species
GAUCCUGGCUCAGGACGAACGCUGGCGGCGUGCCUAACACAUGCAAGUCGAACGGAGAUGUUUAUUUCGGUAGACAUCUUAGUGGCGCACGGGUGAGUAACGCGUGAAUAACCUGACCCGAAGAGGGGGAUAACACCUGGAAACAAGUGCUAAUACCGCAUAAGACCACGGACCGGCAUCGGUCAGAGGUCAAAGGAGGAAUCCGCUUUGGGAGGGGUUCGCGUCCCAUUAGGUAGUUGGUGAGGUAACGGCCCACCAAGCCGACG